rnacentral:ncRNA from 2 species
AUUAAAAAAGGAAAUGGUGUUCUUCCUUACCCAACCGUCCCGAUAGCUAUCGGAGCUGAUGACGCCUGAUUAAUU